GCUUUUCCAAAGACGCUGGGUUGAACAGUGGUAGGGAAUGACGGAUGGACUAACCUGUGGCCUUCUAACUGUGGAAAACCAGGCCGUGCUGAGGCCUUAUCUUGUGUCACAGCAGCUUCAUUAGGUGGAGUUAAACGUAGCCUUAUUGAAUGUGGAUCAAAAUGGCCAGAAACAAAGAACUUUCUUCUGAAACUCGCCAGUCUAUUCUUGUCCCGAGAACAAGACAACAGCACAAAGGGUAAGAAGGUAGAGACAACAAUUCCUCACUCAAAGCAGCCAACAACUGUCAGUAAGAGUUUCCAUGAUUGAGUCUUUGAAUGAAGAGAUUGAGAUAAAACUGUCCAGUUUGAGCAUACUGUCAUUUGAAAAUAGUGCGGGGAAAGGGAAUCUGGACACAGUAGACAUAUUUAAGCUGUUGAUUGCUGAUCAUUUGUAUAAUUCAUAUUUGUGCCUGAUAUUUGUCAUUUGUACAUGGAGUAAAAUAAAUUAAAAUGUGUGAUGCUGCAUUCAAACCAACUGGGAACUCGGAAGCUGAACUCAGAACUUGGAAAUCUUUGACUUCCGACUUUAGUUCAUUCAAUCCAACUGGGAACUCGAACAAAAACGAGCUCCGACUGAAAAAAUGAUUUUGAACGGUCAUCCAACUCGGAAGUUAUUCAAGACUACUGUGAAACAGCCAGUCAGCAUUCCAGGUGACAUAGCUUGUCUCUGGAAACCAGGCCUGGACUUUUUACAUUGCUGGAAAUUCCACUUUUACAUUACAGUUUUUUCCAACUGCUUACACACAAAAUCUUUUCAUGUCACACGAUUUUUGAAACCUCUCACUCAAAGUGCAAAACUACACACCAAAUAUCCAAACCCAUAAGCUAUUUCUCAGCCUUUGACUCAGUUGUCAAUUGCAUAAAACACUUUUUUCAAAACACUACAACACAAUUCUCUACCUAAAACACAAAAAUCUAACAGGAAGUGACUUGCUUUCCUUUUCCAAACACAACCAAUCAAAAUGCUACACAUAUUCACCAGGUCACACACACACUCCUCACAUGUGCAAACACUAGUAGCUUAACUGAUCACUAACUAAUCACUGCUUUACUGUAGUAUAGCCCUAUAAAUAGGUCAAAGGUCAGAUUACCUGUUUUGAACAAUGGAUCCCUAAAAUGGACAGAGAGCAAGAGGAGUAGGAGGGAGAGGAAAAGGAAGAAGAGGACGAGGGCAAAGAAGAGAAGGAAGGAGAGCCAUCUCUAAUGAGAUUGGGGCAACACUUGUUGAUCAUGUGAUCAACCACAGUUUGACCAACUUGAGUCGAUUUACAGUGGCGUCCAUAAUUUGAACCUUCAGAAAUGAGAACAGAGUGGAAAGGCAAAGACACCAUGGAGGACUAGGACGCUUGUUUACAGAUGAAGAAGAGACUGCAAUUAUAAAUAUGGUUUUGGCCAACAAUGCAAUUAGGAUUCGAGAGAUAAGAGAGCAUAUCUUGAAGAAUGACACCAUAUUUAACAACAUCAAUGCUGUAAGCCAGUCGACCAUACAACGCAUCCUCCAACGGCACCGAGUGACGAUGAAACAACUUUACAAGGUGCCAUUUGAGAGAAACUCUGACAGAGUCAAGAAUAUGCGACAUGACUUUGUAGAGGUAUGUAUGCAACACUACUUCCAGUACUUCAGACAUGUUUACUCAUCUGUAUAUCCUUUUGUCUGUUACAGAGAGUAUUGGAGCUAGAUGCCCAUGUAAUUCGCUAGGAAUUUAUUCAUGUGGAUGAGGUUGACUUCAACCUCACCAAAACCAGGCGCCAUGGAAUGUAAUAGGAGAGAGGGCAAUUACCAAUGUCCCUGGACAGCAUGGGGGUAAUAUAACUAUGUGUGAUGCCAUCACUCAAAACGGGGUUAGUUUUCCCCGGGCUGUUCUUGUCACGUUCUGACCUUUAUUUCCUUUGUUUUGUCAUUAUUUAGUAUGGUCAGGGCGUGAGUUGGGGUGGGCAGUCUGUUUGUUUUUCUAUGAGGGGAUUUUGGGGAUUUCUAUGUUUCGGACUAGUAUGGUUCUCAAUCAGAGGCAGGUGUCGUUAGUUGUUUCUGAUUGAGAAUCAUACUUAGGUAGCCUGGGUUUCACUGUGUGUUUGUUUCCGUGUCUGUGUUUUUCACCACACGGUAUUGUUUUGGGUUUCGUUCAUUCCACAUUUAUUGUUUUUGUAUUUCAGUCAUGUUCAUGUGUAGUAUUUCUUACAGAUUUUUUGGAUUGCUUAAACACUAAAAUUAAAAGUAGUACACUAUUAGCAAAACCUUACACUCCAGAAGUAAAACAUCAGCCCAUAUUUGCACAACUAUAAGCACAUUGUCAACCUCACACUUGUUGCAAAACUCUACACACAGUGAUUUUCAAAACACUAAACACACUUAACAUACAUUACACACAAAAAUCUAUCAUGAAGUCACGUCCUUGCAAUACCAAAGCACUGACUGUCAAAUUACCACACCGUCCAACCAAUUUGUUCAACACAGUCAUCAGGUGUGCAAACACUCGUUUGCUUAAUUGUAGACACACCAAUCAGGUGUGUAUAAGCACUAUAAAAAGCAGCAGGUGAGUUCAUCGGUCUUCAAGCACAAUGGAAAGAGUCAGAGAAAGAAUAAGACGAGGAGGAGGAAGACAAGAAGGUGCUCAAAGUGGACGAAUCUGACAAAUGAGAUCCGCGCAACACUGGUUGACCACGUUGUCAACCACGGUCUGACGCUGAGGGAGGCUGGACUGCGAGUACAGCCAAAUCUAAGCCGAUAUACAGUGGCAAGUGUGAUGAGAACAUUUCGACUGGAAAAUAGAAUUGAGGGUCAGGGACGACAAGGGGGAAGGCCUCCUAUGUUCACAGAACAGCAAGAGCGGGAGAUGCACUCAAGCAGCUCCAAGCUAACAUAGUCAAUAACCACGCCAUUUUCAACGAUAUCCAUCAGGUCUCAACAUCAACACUGCCAGGCAUCCUAAAAAAAACAUAUUCAAAUGAAGCAAAUUUAUCGAGUGCCUUUCGAGCGCAAUUCCGAAAGGGUGAAACGACUGCGGCAUGAUUAUGCCGAGAGUUUUACGAAUGGAUGGAGAGGAUAUCCAGCAUGAGUUCAUUUACGUAGAUGAGGCUGGGUUCAACCUGACGAGAACACGAAGGAGGGGAAGAAACAUCAUUGGCCACAGGGCUAUAGUCAAUGUCCCAGGGCAACGUGGGGGUAAUAUAACACUCUGUGCAGCCAUUACACAGAAUGGUGUCCUCCACCGCCAUGCCCAUAUGGGCCCUUACAACACAGCACUCAUACUUACAUUCUUGGACCAAUUGCACAACAUAACAGCAGCAAAUCAAUUCGAUCAUAUGCAAUACAUUGUUGUCUGGUACAAUGUGUCUUUCCACCGCUCUGCUCUGGUUCAGAACUGGUUUCAGCAACAUCCACAUUUCACCGUCCUAUAUCUUCCACCAUACUCUCCAUUCCUCAACCCUAUAGAAGAGUUUUUCUCGGCAUGGCGGUGGAAGGCUGAGGUACCCCUCAUCCAAGCCAUGGAGGAGGCCUGUGACCAAAUGGAGGUAGCAGCAAUGCAAGGAUGGAUUCGUCAUUCAAGACGUUUCUUCCCAAGGUGUCUUGCUAAUGACAACAUUGCCUGCGAUGUUGAUGAAAUUCUCUGGCCAGAUCCAGCUAGGCGAAGAGACAAUGUCUAGUUAUUUUGUUGUUUUUUUUAACUUACAAUACGUAAAGUGACGUUUGGUUACAGUAUUAUGAAUCUCCAUGUCAACAUUUUGGGCGUGUUGAGAAACACAUGAGUUUCUUCAGUCUGCAACAUUGGUCUUGUGUAGUGUUUGAUGAAUUUACAUUAUAUUUGUACUUUGUUGAUAGUAGCCUACUCUAAUCAUAGGGAAGUAGAAGUGCUAAAAGUGUUUUGGGUUUAUCACAGCAGAGUGUAACUCGUGCAAACAGAGUAUAGUAAUGUGAAACGUGUGUGUUUCAUAUGGUAACAAAGUGUGGUUUUUAUAAAGAAGUGUAUAGUUUUUACAAGAGUGUUUAAUUUUGCAAAGGAUCUGUAGUGUUUUGCUAAUUGGGUGUGUGGUUGUGUUAAUUGUGUGUAGUGUUUUGAAAACACGGGCCCUGUUUUGAAAAUCGUGCUUAAGCAAUCAAAAAAAAAUGUAUUAAAAGAACCAUGGACACUUACCACGCCACAUAUUGGUCCUCCGAUCCUUCUCGCCUCUCCUCUUCGGAGGAAGAGGAGGAAAUCCCUUACAGUUCUGGUCCAAAACUGGUCUGCCACCCAUCCACAAUUUGUAGUUUUGUACCUACCCCCAUAUUCACCUUUUCUAAAUCCCGUAGAGGAAUUCUUCUCAGCCUGGCCCUGGAAAGUGUAUGAUCGCCAACCCUAUGCCCGCAUGCCGCUUCUCCAGGCAAUGGAGGACGCAUGUGGGGACAUAGAGGUUGACUCUGUCCAAGGUUGGAUACACCAUGCUAGGAGAUACUUCCCUCCAUGUGGGGACAUAGAGGUUGUCUCUGUCCAGGGUUGGAUACGCCAUGCUAGGAGAUACUUCCCUCCAUGUGGGGACAUAGAGGUUGUCUCUGUCCAGGGUUGGAUACGCCAUGCUAGGAGAUACUUCCCUCCAUGUGGGGACAUAGAGGUUGUCUCUGUCCAGGGUUGGAUACGCCAUGCUAGGAGAUACUUCCCUCCAUGUGGGGACAUAGAGGUUGUCUCUGUCCAGGGUUGGAUACGCCAUGCUAGGAGAUACUUCCCUCCAUGUGGGGACAUAGAGGUUGUCUCUGUCCAGGGUUGGAUACGCCAUGCUAGGAGAUACUUCCCUCCAUGUGGGGACAUAGAGGUUGCCUCUGUCCAAGGUUGGAUACGCCACGCUAGGAGAUACUUCCCUCGGAUGUUUGGCAAGAGAAAACGUAUCUUGUGAUGUGGACGAAGUAUUGUGGCCAGACCAAGGCCGGAGAAGAGAUGAAGCUUAGCACUGGUGACUGCCCCCCCUACCAAUUCCUGGACUGCCCCCCCUGGGACCCCACACACACAAUUGUUGUCUUUACUGUAUUCUAAAGAAUAUACUUUUGGUUUACAUAUGUUUAUGGUUUUGUUGUAUGCUACUGUGAACAACUAAUGUUUGGCCUAAUAAAUAUGUUCUGUUUCUACAUUGCAUUGGUGUUUACAGUGUACUUGUUACCCCUCUCAGCAGAUUACUUUCACUGUAGAACAUUGUAUUGAAAUGU